rnacentral:misc_RNA from 1 species
GAUGAAGAACGCAGCGAAAUGCGAUAAGUAAUGUGAAUUGCAGAAUUCAGUGAAUCAUCGAAUCUUUGAACGCACAUUGCGCCCGCUAGUAUUCUGGCGGGCAUGCCUGUCCGAGCGUCAUUUCAACCCUCAAGCCCCCGGGCUUGGUGUUGGGGAUCGGCGAGCCUCCGCGCCCGCCGUCCCCUAAAUCUAGUGGCGGUCUCGCUGUAGCUUCCUCUGCGUAGUAGCACACCUCGCACUGGGAAACAGCGCGGCCACGCCGUUAAACCCCCAACUUCUGAACGUUUGACCUCGGAUCAGGUAGGAAUACCCGCUGAACUUAAGCAUAUCCAAUAAGCGGAGGA